rnacentral:rRNA from 1 species
GACGAACGCUGGCGGCGUGCCUAAUACAUGCAAGUUGAGCGCUGAAGGUUGGUACUUGUACCAACUGGAUGAGCAGCGAACGGGUGAGUAACGCGUGGGGAAUCUGCCUUUGAGCGGGGGACAACAUUUGGAAACGAAUGCUAAUACCGCAUAAAAACUUUAAACACAAGUUUUAAGUUUGAAAGAUGCAAUUGCAUCACUCAAAGAUGAUCCCGCGUUGUAUUAGCUAGUUGGUGAGGUAAAGGCUCACCAAGGCGAUGAUACAUAGCCGACCUGAGAGGGUGAUCGGCCACAUUGGGACUGAGACACGGCCCAAACUCCUACGGGAGGAAGCAGUAGGGAAUCUUCGGCAAUGGACGAAAGUCUGACCGAGCAACGCCGCGUGAGUGAAGAAGGUUUUCGGAUCGUAAAACUCUGUUGGUAGAGAAGAACGUUGGUGAGAGUGGAAAGCUCAUCAAGUGACGGUAACUACCCAGAAAGGGACGGCUAACUACGUG